rnacentral:rRNA from 1 species
UCGCCUGUUUAUCAAAAACAUUGCUUAAUCUAUAAGCAAUUCCUGCUCAGUGAACACUUUAAACAGCCGGCAACGCCAAGGUAGCAAAAUAAUUAGUUUUUUAAUUGACUACAAGAAUGAACGGAACCAUUAAAGAAGUAAUUUUAUCACUUAACCUAGAAUUUUUUUUAUUGUGAAAAGACAAUAAUUCAUUUAUAAGACGAUAAGACCCUAUGAAGCUGCUAGUGAUUUACAUUAAUAAACAACUAACUAAUUAUUUGGGAGAAAGAAAAAAUUUUUUAUUUUUAAAAAGCCUCAUAUAGAUCUUUAUUAAAUUUAUAAAAAUAGUUACUCUAGGGAUAACAGCACAA